AGAAGCAGCGCAAUUGAAAAUAACGGUGUGAACGGGUAUGGAACUCCGGGUGCACGAAAGUUCAUUCGCUUGAGGUUAAAGCGGUGGUAUAGUAUGUUUCAGGUGUGAUAAAACUGGACAGAAAAGAACAGUCUGUGUAAUGUAGCGCAAGUAAAGGGUAGAGUCUGUAUGAGGUUCAAUGGAUGAGGCAAUUUAUGAAGUAAUGCUGGAUAUUUUAAAUUAAUUCCAACUUAAGAGGACGUUCAAAUCGUUGUGUACUGUAUGUGACUGUACAUUGGAUUUUGUGAAUGCUAGCAACACAUAAAAGGACAUAACAGUGACAUUAUCUGUUGAAUGUGAGAUCACAAUGGUGGGCCUGGUGUCAUAUGUGAAGGGUUCUUCAGUUUCCCACCUUCUUCUUGCCAUCACUUUUUUUGUGUCUGGUUUGAUCAUCAAUCUGACGCAAGCCUUGUUGUACUAUGGACUUCGACCGUUCAGCAAAUACUUAUACAGGAAAAUCAACUACUAUGUCUGUUAUUCGCUCUAUUGCCAAUUGGUGUUCAUGGCAGAAUGGUGGGCAUCCACAGACCUGGUACUCUACAUAGAUAAAGAGGAUCUUGAACGAUACUAUGGCAAAGAGCAUGGGUUCCUUAUAAUGAAUCAUCGGUAUGAAGUAGAUUGGCUCAUGGGAUGGGUUCUCUGUGACCGAGUAAAUAUACUUGGAAACUGCAAAACAUUUGCUAAGAAGUCAAUUCGAUAUGUGCCAACAAUGGGCUGGGCUUGGUUGUUUGCAGAGAGUAUUUUCCUAGAGAGAAACUGGGAAAAGGACAAGGAAACAAUAGGGAGGCAAAUAAAAGAACUUGUGGAGCAUCCUGAUCCCAUAUGGCUGCUGUUGAUGGCUGAAGGCACAAGAUUUACGACAGAAAAGCAUGAAGCAAGUAAAAAGUUUGCAGAAGAAAAAGGUUUGCCAGUAUUAAAGCACCACCUUACACCUCGAACUAAGGGCUUUACCACCAGUUUGCCCUACCUUCACGGGAAAUUUGGUGGUAUAUACGACGUUCAACUUUCAUUUAAAGAGGGUGAAAGACCAACCAUGACAGACCUUCUACUAGGUAAGAGGGUCCAGGCACAUCUUUAUAUUGGGCGCAUUCCUUUGGACCAGGUUCCAGUGGAAGAAGAGACAUCUGCGCAGUGGCUAUACCAGCUGUAUCAGAAGAAGGAUCGAAUGUCAGACAGUUUUUUCUGCACGGGAGACUUCUUUGCAGAAAGUGGUGUGAUGAAGAUUGAAGGAUACCGUCUUCCCCGGCGUUAUUUUAGUUUAAUCAACACAGUAGCUUGGGGGUUUGUGGUAUUAGUGCCCAUGGUGUAUUACCUGCUACGAUUGCUCACCUCAGGGUCCACUAUAUACUUCUCUGUAGGAAUUGGAAUCAUAGGCAUCUUUUUCUGGCUGUUAUCAAAAAUGAUUGGUAUGACAAAAAUCAGUAAAGCAUCAUCAUAUGGGAAAACUACCACAACUCCAACAGAAACAAAGGACUCCCCAAGUGCCACUAAGAAGACUGAAUAAAUUCCAAACAAUAUAUAAUAUGGAAGAACUAUGCUACCGUCAACACAACAAUAUUUCAGUUACUACAUAAAUUCCCUUACAGAUCCCUUAAUUUAUGCCCCACAAAUUUGUAUUUGAGAGAUAGGGUCUUGAAAUUCUGCAGCACACCCUUUAUUCACUGCAGCAAACAGAAAAACUGAAGCUGUUAACGGUCUCUUAGAACAUACUAGACUGACUGCAUGAUAAGACAUGGCAGCAAGAGGAUUACUGAAGAUUAUGACCUGGAAUGUGACGCCAUGUUAUUUGGUAGACAGGAACUAGUUUACCAAACUGUAUGGCUUCACAUCCACCAAGAGAACAUCAAAUCUGACAAAAGGAGGACUAUUACAUACGAGCAGUGGUAAUGUAACAGAAGGACCAUUAUUAUUUGAGCAAAGUUCACAACUUCUUCGAUGAAAUGCUUUUGUUACUGUCAUAAAAUUACAGACCAGAAGAAGACAGAAACAAACUUUGUACAGGUGAUGCAACUAGAAGUAAAAGCCCAUAAGACAAUAUGCUUUGUUCUUAAUUCUGGCUGUGCCACAGAAUUGGAAACAGAGAAAUAUUUGGAGAGCAUGGGGAUUCUGAAUUAAAUGUGGGGGGAAGAAUAUGGGAUACUCUACAAACUUAUCAAUUGACUUGUUUCAGAGGGAGGUUUUUGAUUAAGCUUAAUGGAAAUUGUUAACAUAGAUUCAAGGAAAAGAUAUAUUUUUUGUCCAGCUGUAAACUGAUUACUUCGCAUAUUGUUAAAUGAUUUUCAAUCAUAUGCUAUCAAGUGAUAAGAUUAGGAGGAUACUGGGAGGUGAAUUCAUCCUGCAAAUGAAAACCUAGGCUUCAGAAAUUAUGAAUGGUAUCUUUGUUAUAGAUUACGCACAAUGUAAUGGAAUGUGUACUUUGACAGUUUACUUAAGUAUAUUGAUAUAAAGCUACAGUGGAACUUCUCUCAAAGAACACAGAUUGUAUUUGUGUGGCAUGGAUUGUGUUUUAGGCCAUACUAAAGUAAUGCUACACCUUAUUCAGAGACCACUCUUAUUCCCGACGAGUGACCAUGCCUGGUCAUUAUUAAACCCCCUUUAAAAGGACACCACAGGCACACUAGACAGCAUGAAGACAACAUAUGAUUUGUUAAGAAAUGAUUUAACACCUUUAUUUAACAAGUUUCAGGAUAAAGUUAAGAACAAAGUUGUAAAAAGAAAAGUAAAACUGUAAUCUAAAUUACAGUAGAUUCAUUUUUAAAGCCAGCAUACCACUGGUAUAUGGGGCACGUGGUAGUGUAGUUGGUUGAGGCACUAUGCUACAAGCCGGAAGGUUGCGGGUUCAAGUCC